rnacentral:snoRNA from 1 species
GGUUGGGUCUAUUGUUACAAUGUAGCAGUGAAAUGCCAUGCUGUCCUUUCCCUCAAGCCAGAGCAAGUGUCCAGCUCUGUCAAGCUCAGUUCUACAGCCAGACAGGGAUGCUUGGUCUCAAACAU